rnacentral:lncRNA from 1 species
UAGUUAGAAGAGACGAUGCAUACAUUUUAUUGAUGCAUGAACAGAAGAAAGAAAAGUUUGAUUUGUGAACCUUUCAUCCACAAAAUUCAACACAGAUACAAGUGGAAACAGAGAAGGGAAAAAGUCACUUUCAUUUUCGCAGUUCAGAACUUCAACACAGAUGUUCCCAAUUCACUCAAUUAUUUUCAACACAGAUUUACUUUAUGUUGCUCACUUCCUCUGCUUCUUUUUUUUUUUUUUUUUGGGUUCAAUUGUAUUUUCUAUGAACUCCUCCUCUUCAACAACAAUAUGCUGGCAUGAUCAGAAUUUUGCUUGCUCCAAUUCCAAAGCUCAUUUUCCAUUUCAAAAUUCGAACCUUCAUUCUCAACUCCCAAAACAGAAUCAUGGAAAGACGGGACAAUUUGUUGCUCCUGGAAUGGGGUCACUUGUUAUGUUGAAACAGAUGAUAUAAUUUGUCUCUCCCUCUCUGAUAGCUUGCAGUAUGGCACCAUCCAUUCUAAUAACAGUCUUUUCUUCCUUGGUCAUCUGCAAAAGCUUUGUCCUCUCUCGCAAUUAUUUCAGCAACUCGCAGAUUCUACCUCAAUUUGGCCAAUUCUUUGCUUUGACACACCUUAAUCUAUAUAGUUUAGAUUUCGUUGGCCAAAUCCCACCAGAAAUCUCUCAUCUAUCCAAUUUAAUUUCAGUUGAUCUCUCUUGGAUUGAUUUGUUACCUCAAUCUGAUACAAGAGACAAUGAAGGAGGAUGCAUGAUUCUCAAUUAGAAGCAGCAGAUUCAAUUUGAGGCUUUCUGUGUGAUGUGCAGGAUGACAGAUACAAAUUUCCUCAUCAACACUGCUAAUUAACUACUAACGCUAUCUCUGUUUUUUUUUUUCUUUUCCAAGAAAAAGCAAAAAGUUACGGAAUUGGCUUUUUUACUUUAGUUUGUUUAUAGAUCUUUCCAAGAAACCAAGUGAAAUUAAGUUGGAUAGAUGAGAGAUUUCUGGUGGGAUUUGACCAGAAAAAUCUGAAUCAUACAGAAUAAGGGUGUCAAAGCAAAGAACUCGCAAAAUUGAGGUAGAAUUUGUGAGUUGUUGAAAAAAUUGCACGAGAGGUGAAGCUUUUAAAGAUGAGCAAGGAAGAGAAGACUGUGAGUAGAAUACAGCAAGCUAUCAGAGAGAUUAAGGCCAAUUAUAUUACCUGUCAAAAAUGACCCAAUCCCAGGAGCAACAAUUUGUCCCCUCUCUCAGAGUUGGGGAAGCUAAAGCACAGGAUUAGAGAGACAGGAAAAGCAAUGAUAAUGAGGAUAUGAUGGAGCACUCUUUUAUAGUGCCAAGAGGGAGCAGUUGGGUAGAUGAGUUGAAAUAUUUAUGACCAAAGAAGAGUGUAAUUAGAAUGGAUGGUGCCAUUUUGCUUAUUUGGAGGCUCUUUCAUUGAAUUGGAGCAAAGCAGUGAGGACCAAUUUCAUACACAGAAAGUGAGCAACACAAAGUAAACCCCACCAUUUUCAAUUUACAAGAUGUCUAAUUUCUAAUUCGAUAAAUCAAGGUGACAUUUUUCCUUUUUUCCUUUCCACUUGUAUAAUCGUAGACUUAAAACAUGCAUCUAAGACAUGUCAAAAAAGAAAAAGAAAGAGAAAGAAAAUGGAAAAAGAAAACAAGCUUAGCUAACAACAUUUUCUGUUUUUGAAACCCAUAUUAAUCUAAAAGGAC